rnacentral:rRNA from 1 species
UACAGAGGUCCCAAGCGUUGUUCGGAUUCACUGGGCGUAAAGGGCGCGUAGGCGGUCAGCACAAGUCAAUUGUGAAAUCUCCGAGCUUAACUCGGAAAGGUCAACUGAAACUGUGCGACUAGAGUGCGGAAGGGGCAACUGGAAUUCUUGGUGUAGCGGUGAAAUGCGUAGAUAUCAAGAGGAACACCUGCGGCGAAGGCGGGUUGCUGGGCCGACACUGACGCUGAAGCGCGAAAGCCAGGGGAGCGAACGGG